UACACUUCUCACAUCUGCCUUGGUUGUGCUCUGUCAGGCAUCCUCCUGGCCCUGAAUCUCUCUACGGACGGGAGGGAAGAAAACCUCAGUGUAAACCCGUGGACCACUUCUCUCUUCCACAUAGUGUCUGCCGGAGAUAAUACGUCUGCUUCUGGAGACUUCUGCUGGCAAUCCUCAAGUGAGAGCAACUUUACAAUGUCUGGAGACAUAUUGACACGAAGUUGGAACAGCAAAGGCGGCAUCACCUGGAAGCUAUGACAGUACUGCCACUGUGUCUACACCACACACGCCUCAGCUGCUGUGGAGACUCACACUAAUCAGAGAGCAUCGUCCUAUGUAGCCGUGUGUCUGACAUCUGUUAGGACCUCUGACUGGAUGCAAGUUCAGCCAAACACAACUGUCCUCCAUUCACAAACGGAAAACUCCCCGGACGGGUUCCCUGAGCAGCCAACUCCCGCCCGCCAGCAGUACAGGCCACACAAAGCACUUACUUGUUCCACGUAAUGAAAGUGGCUCUCUGCGUGGACAUGCCAAGACCAACAAUCUGACUCAUCUGUACUCCUGCAGCUAAAGGUAAAGACAGAUAAGACAUGUUAAAAGCCGGAGAAGUUGAACUGUGUAACAAUACGGUACAGAAUCUCUAACCAGGAUGUCUGAGCUUAAUAAGCAAAGUCUUCCUAAGAUGAAUUUUGCAUUAUUUUUACUUAAAAGGAAAAAAAGAUAUCAUAAUAAUAAUAAUAAUAAUAAUAAACACCCUUU